GGGGAUUUAGCUCGGUGGCAUAAGCGCCUGCCUUGCAAGCAGGCAGUCGUGGGUUUGAUCCUCAGUACCGA
rfam:Cavia porcellus supercont2_13 genomic scaffold, whole genome shotgun sequence.